UCUGAUGGAGCAACGCCGCGUGAGUGAAGAAGGGUUUCGGCUCGUAAAACUCUGUUGUUAAAGAAGAACAUAUUCUGAGAGUAACUGUUCAGGUAUUGACGGUAUUUAACCAGAAAGCCACGGCUAACUACGUGCCAGCAGCCGCGGUAAUACGUAGGUGGCAAGCGUUGUCCGGAUUUAUUGGGCGUAAAGCGAGCGCAGGCGGUUUUUUAAGUCUGAUGUGAAAGCCUUUCGGCUCAACCGAAGAAGUGCAUCGGAAACUGGGAAACUUGAGUGCAGAAGAGGACAGUGGAACUCCAUGUGUAGCGGUGAAAUGCGUAGAUAUAUGGAAGAACACCAGUGGCGAAGGCGGCUGUCUGGUCUGUAACUGACGCUGAGGCUCGAAAGUAUGGGUAGCAAACAGGAUUAGAUACCCUGGUAGUCCAUACCGUAAACGAUGAAUGCUAAGUGUUGGAGGGUUUCCGCCCUUCAGUGCUGCAGCUAACGCAUUAAGCAUUCCGCCUGGGGAGUACGGCCGCAAGGCUGAAACUCAAAGGAAUUGACGGGGGCCCGCACAAGCGGUGGAGCAUGUGGUUUAAUUCGAAGCUACGCGAAGAACCUUACCAGGUCUUGACAUACUAUGCAAAUCUAAGAGAUUAGACGUUCCCUUCGGGGACAUGGAUACAGGUGGUGCAUGGUUGUCGUCAGCUCGUGUCGUGAGAUGUUGGGUUAAGUCCCGCAACGAGCGCAACCCUUAUUAUCAGUUGCCAGCAUUAAGUUGGGCACUCUGGUGAGACUGCCGGUGACAAACCGGAGGAAGGUGGGGAUGACGUCAAAUCAUCAUGCCCCUUAUGACCUGGGCUACACACGUGCUACAAUGGAUGGUACAACGAGUUGCGAACUCGCGAGAGUAAGCUAAUCUCUUAAAGCCAUUCUCAGUUCGGAUUGUAGGCUGCAACUCGCCUACAUGAAGUCGGAAUCGCUAGUAAUCGCGGAUCAGCAUGCCGCGGUGAAUACGUUCC
rnacentral:rRNA from 1 species